AUUGAACGCUGGCGGCAGGCUUAACACAUGCAAGUCGAGCGAGGGGGGGACGGGUGAGUAGUGUCUGGGACACUGCCUGGGGGAGGGGGAUAACUACUGGAAACGGUAGAUAAUACCGUAUACUCUCAGAUGUGCAAAGAUGGGAUUAGCUAGUAGGUGGGGUAAUGGCUCACCUAGGCGACGAUCCCUAGCUGUUCUGAGAGGAUGACCAGCCACACGGGAACUGAGACACGGUCCAGACGCCUACGGGAGGCAGCAGUGGGGAAUAUUGCACAAUGGGCGCAAGCCUGAUGCAGCCAUGCCGCGUGUGUGAAGAAGGCCUUCGGGUUGUAAAGCACUUGCAGCGAGGAGGCGUUACUCGCAGAAGAAGCACCGGCUAACUCCGUGCCAGCCGCCGCGGUAAUAC
rnacentral:rRNA from 1 species